UCUCAUCUUUUUAAGUGGGAGAACUUGCACAAUUGGUGGCUGACUAAAUACUUUUUUCCCCCCACUGUACAGUACAUUCAUUAUAACAGGAUCAUUCCCUCCUAGCAAAUGUGUAGUGCAGAAGAGUUCCUUAUCAUACCCAGCUACCCCGUCGUACUUGUACAACCUUGAUGUUCUCUUUGGAAAGCAAGCCUUGUUUUGUUUAGAUUGAUAGAAAAAUGUUACGUUCUCAUAAAUCCAACCAAUUUUGUAUGCAAUCAUUGAGGACACAAGUAAAUGAAAAAAAUGAAUUGUAGGAGGAGCUCUUAGAGACUGGCCUGAAGCCCUUAGAGGAGCAGCUGGAGGGAUUUAAAGAAGUUAAACAAAGCUUUGAAGAAACGGCAGAGCUUAUUAAGAGCCAGGCCCAGCAGACAGAAAAGCAGAUUCAGGAGGACUUUGAGAAACUUCACCAGUUUCUACGAUAUGAAGAGGCAGCCAGGAUAGUGGUCCUAAGGGAGGAAGAGGAAGAGACGGGUCGAAGGAUGAAGAAGAGGAUUGACGAUAUGAACAGAGAGAUGGCAGCCAUUUUAGACACAAUGAGAGCCAUAAAGAAGGACCUGGUAUCUGAUGACAUCUCAUUCCUGCAGAACUACAAAGACACGUAAAAAAGAGCCCAGUGCACAAGGCCAGAUCCAGAGCUUGUUUCAGGAGCGCUGAUCGAUGUGGCAAAGCACCUGGGCAACCUGCCGUUCAGAGUUUUGGAGAAGAUGCUGAAGUCUGUUCAAUACACUCCUGUGAUUCUGGACCCUAACACUGCCCAUCCAUGUCUCAUCCUGUCUGACGAUCUGACCAGUAUGAGAUUCAGUAAUGGGAUACGGCUGCUUCCUGACAACCCAGAGAGGUUUGAUAACUAUCGCAUGGUCCUAGGCUCUGAGGGCUUUGACUCCGGGACACACAGUUGGGACACAGACGUCGGGGACAAUACAGUAUGGUUUGUAGGUGUAGUCUAUAUGUCUGUCCAGAGGAGGGGAGUGGUACAGACUGGACUCUGGCGUGUAGGUUAUUAUAAUGAUAAAUACUGUGCAUGUUGUCCAAAAGGGCCACAGACUGUCCUAACACUGGAAAGGAAACCCCAGAGUGCAGCUGGACUGGGACAGAGAAACACUGUCCUUUUAUGACCUUGAUAAUAACACACACCUACACACGUUCACACACUUUUACCGAGAGAGUGUUUCCAUAAAUCAAUAUUGGCAGUGAUCUCUACCCUGCUAGGAUCUUACCAGGGAAAGCCUCUGUAACAGUGGAACAGCAUGUUAUACCUCCCCACGUCAGCUCUUCUUCCUUUUAACUUGAUCAGUUGUUGUUGUGCACUGACACUGUGGAAGGAACCACUACCUCCGUGAUUUAGAUUUGUUCAACAGGAUUAAAUUAUUAAUUGUAUUAUCAUAUGAAUGAUUAUAUGUUAACAACAGAAAACGAAUGGAUCGAACAAAAUGCAUUCACAAAACUUUGCUGAUCCAAUAAAAACAAUUGAUUAAACAAUUCAAAAUGUUA